GUAGUUAGCCGGGGCUUCCUCCUUGGCUACCGUCACUUUCUUCGUCACCAAGGACAGAGGUUUACAAUCCGAAGACCUUCUUCCCUCACGCGGCGUUGCUGGGUCAGGCUUGCGCCCAUUGCCCAAUAUUCCCCACUGCUGCCUCCCGUAGGAGUCUGGACCGUGUCUCAGUUCCAGUGUGGCCGAUCAGCCUCUCAGCUCGGCUACCCAUCGUUGGCUAGGUGGGCCGUUACCCCGCCUACUACCUAAUGGGACGCGAACCCCUCCUUCAGCGGAUUGCUCCUUUGACCUCAUCCCGAUGCCGGGUCGUGGUCUUAUGCGGUAUUAGCACUUGUUUCCAGGUGUUAUCCCCCUCUGAAGGUCAGGUUGUUCACGCGUUACUCACCCGUUCGCCACUAAAAUUUAUCUUCCAUCCGAAAACUUCUGAUAAAUCUCCGUUCGACUUGCAUGUGUUAGGCACGCCGCCAGCGUUCGUCCUGAGCCAUGAUCAACUCUGA
rnacentral:rRNA from 1 species